rnacentral:rRNA from 1 species
GAUGAACGCUGGCGGCGUGCCUAAUACAUGCAAGUCGAGCGAACAGACGAGGAGCUUGCUCCUCUGACGUUAGCGGCGGACGGGUGAGUAACACGUGGAUAACCUACCUAUAAGACUGGGAUAACUUCGGGAAACCGGAGCUAAUACCGGAUAACAUGUUGAACCGCAUGGUUCAACAGUGAAAGACGGUCUUGCUGUUACUUAUAGAUGGAUCCGCGCCGCAUUAGCUAGUUGGUAAGGUAACGGCUUACCAAGGCAACGAUGCGUAGCCGACCUGAGAGGGUGAUCGGCCACACUGGAACUGAGACACGGUCCAGACUCCUACGGGAGGCAGCAGUAGGGAAUCUUCCGCAAUGGGCGAAAUCCUGACGGAGCAACGCCGCGUGAGUGAAGAAGGUCUUCGGAUCGUAAAACUCUGUUAUUAGGGAAGAACAAAUGUGUAAGUAACUAUGCACGUCUUGACGGUACCUAAUCAGAAAGCCACGGCUAACUACGUG